GCGAGGAUGGCGAAAUUGGUAGACGCUUCAGUUUCAGAUACUGAUGUCUUUUCUCUAGACGUGAGGGUUCAAAUCCCUCUCUUCGCA
rnacentral:tRNA from 1 species